CAGCCGCCACGGUAAAGCCAGCACCUCGAGUGGUCAGGAGGUUUAUUGGGCCUAAGCAUCCGUAGCCGGUUGCAUAAGUUUUCGGUUAAAUCUAUGCGCUUAACGUAUAGGCCGCCGAAAAUACUGUGCAGCUAGGGAGUGGGAGAGGUACACGGUACUCGAUAGGAAGGGGUAAAAUCCUUUGAUCUAUUGAUGACCACCUGUGGCGAAGGCAGUGUACCAGAACACGUUCGACGGUGAGGGAUGAAAGCUGGGGGAGCAAACCGGAUUAGAUACCCCCGUAGUCCCUGUCUCUUAUACA
rnacentral:rRNA from 1 species